UCAGGACUUUCAACCUCUUGCCUCAGAGGGCACAGGAUAUUCGCCCUUAUCGACGGCGUGAGGUGAUAUCAAAGCAAGUGAUCAUCAUUAGAUGUGCUUUACAGAAAUUGACUCGAUUCUCCAAUCGCUCCGUUACACAUUCCAGGGCCUCCAAAUACUCUAUGGAGUCAACUUCAUAGGUUUGCUCCAAGUCGACUGGAAACAAAUUGAAAGAAACAAAUGAGAUAAAACUUGUAAUAAAAUAACACAUUUAUGCAACUUUAUUACUUAUAAUUAAUGGUUAAUAACUAUACUUUUAGAAAGUACUCCAAUAAAUAUGUAAAGCUGU